GACGAACGCUGGCGGCGUGCUUAACACAUGCAAGUCGAACGGAAAGGCCCUGCUUUUGUGGGGUGCUCGAGUGGCGAACGGGUGAGUAACACGUGAGUAUCCUGCCCUUGACUUUGGGAUAACUUCAGGAAACUGGGGCUAAUACCGGAUAGGAGCUCCUGCUGCAUGGUGGGGGUUGGAAAGUUUCGGCGGCUGGGGAUGGACUCGCGGCUUAUCAGCUUGUUGGUGGGGUAGUGGCUUACCAAGGCUUUGACGGGUAGCCGGCCUGAGAGGGUGACCGGCCACAUUGGGACUGAGAUACGGCCCAGACUCCUACGGGAGGCAGCAGUGGGGAAUAUUGCACAAUGGGCGGAAGCCUGAUGCAGCAACGCCGCGUGCGGGAUGACGGCCUUCGGGUUGUAAACCGCUUUCGCCUGUGACGAAGCGUGAGUGACGGUAAUGGGUAAAGAAGCACCGGCUAACUACGUGCCAGCAGCCGCGGUGAUACGUAGGGUGCGAGCGUUGUCCGGAUUUAUUGGGCGUAAAGGGCUCGUAGGUGGUUGAUCGCGUCGGAAGUGUAAUCUUGGGGCAUAACCCUGAGCGUGCUUUCGAUACGGGUUGACUUGAGGAAGGUAGGGGAGAAUGGAAUUCCUGGUGGAGCGGUGGAAUGCGCAGAUAUCAGGAGGAACACCAGUGGCGAAGGCGGUUCUCUGGGCCUUUCCUGACGCUGAGGAGCGAAAGCGUGGGGAGCGAACAGGCUUAGAUACCCUGGUAGUCCACGCUGUAAACGGUGGGUACUAGGUGUGGGGUCCAUUCCACGGGUUCCGUGCCGUAGCUAACGCUUUAAGUACCCCGCCUGGGGAGUACGGCCGCAAGGCUAAAACUCAAAGGAAUUGACGGGGCCCCGCACAAGCGGCGGAGCAUGCGGAUUAAUUCGAUGCAACGCGUAGAACCUUACCUGGGUUUGACAUGGAUCGGGAGUGCUCAGAGAUGGGUGUGCCUCUUUUGGGGUCGGUUCACAGGUGGUGCAUGGCUGUCGUCAGCUCGUGUCGUGAGAUGUUGGGUUAAGUCCCGCAACGAGCGCAACCCUUGUUCACUGUUGCCAGCACGUUAUGGUGGGGACUCAGUGGAGACCGCCGGGGUCAACUCGGAGGAAGGUGGGGAUGACGUCAAGUCAUCAUGCCCCUUAUGUCCAGGGCUUCACGCAUGCUACAAUGGCUGGUACAGAGAGUGGCGAGCCUGUGAGGGUGAGCGAAUCUCGGAAAGCCGGUCUCAGUUCGGAUUGGGGUCUGCAACUCGACCUCAUGAAGUCGGAGUCGCUAGUAAUCGCAGAUCAGCAACGCUGCGGUGAAUACGUUCCCGGGGCU
rnacentral:rRNA from 1 species